UUGAUAUUUCUCUCCCCAGAUUGUGUUUCCUAAAGCAUUUUCAGAAUUUUUCCUGGGGAUUUGGUGAAGGUGCGUAGAGGCACUUUGUGCUCAGGAAUUCAUACACAACCAUGAAGUUUGCAUUCAGAACGUUUGGCUCUGGGUCUACAAUGAGAAUACUUGUGCGGCUGCUGAAAUAAACCAACAAUAAUAACACACUGCAGGAUUGAACCUGGUGCUUACCCACGACAGGAAAGGGCUCUAUCUGUCACCUUCCCUCCCAUGAUCUUCAGAGGCUAAAAAUGCCUACUGGAAACUAACGACAAGGACAUUUGCUGCUGACCAGUGUACGAAGGUGCGCCCGACGCAGACGGCGACUAGUCAUUCCUGAAGCAGCUGCUGUGGGUGACAACUAAAAGAACGACGCCCAGGUUCUCUCUGUUUGUCACAUACUGGAAAACAUGCAGCAGCAUGGAGGACUUUUAUUAAGUUUAUAAACACCAGGAACUGUAAUAAAAUAUAAAAUACAGAGCA